UUUUUUUUCCUUUCUUUCGUUCCACACCAACUUGGUGUUGCUCACAAAAAGAGGCAACAGAGAGAAGCAAAAUCAUCAUUUAAAACAAAAAAAACCAAAGAUUUCAAAAUGAAACUUUUAAUUUUUGCCUUAUU
rnacentral:ribozyme from 1 species